GACGAACGCUGGCGGCGUGCUUAACACAUGCAAGUCGAACGGAAAGGCCCUGCUUUUGUGGGGUGCUCGAGUGGCGAACGGGUGAGUAACACGUGAGUAACCUGCCCUUGACUUUGGGAUAACUUCAGGAAACUGGGGCUAAUACCGGAUAGGAGCUCCUGCUGCAUGGUGGGGGUUGGAACGUUUCGGCGGUUGGGGAUGGAUUCGCGGCUUAUCAGCUUGUUGGUGGGGUAGUGGCUUACCAAGGCUUUGACGGGUAGCCGGCCUGAGAGGGUGACCGGCCACAUUGGGACUGAGAUACGGCCCAGACUCCUACGGGAGGCAGCAGUGGGGAAUAUUGCACAAUGGGCGGAAGCCUGAUGCAGCAACGCCGCGUGCGGGAUGACGGCCUUCGGGUUGUAAACCGCUUUCGCCUGUGACGAAGCGUGAGUGACGGUAAUGGGUAAAGAAGCACCGGCUAACUACGUG
rnacentral:rRNA from 1 species